rnacentral:lncRNA from 1 species
UAAAACUUUAUUAAUAAAGCUAACUUUUAUGUUACCGUUUAUAUAUAAAUUAAAAAUACCUGCUUAUAUAGUCAGGUUAUAUAUUCGAGUUAUUAAAUUAUUGGAUAAAGAAAUUUUUAACAAAAUACAAAACUUAAAUAAAAUCGAUCUCAUUUAUGAUAGCCUGUUUUAUAUUCUUCUAAAUCAUUUUAUAUAUUUUUUUUUAAAUAUGAAUAUAGAAUUAGAUGAAGAGGCAUCAAACAUUAUGUCACAUACUUAUGAUAGUAGCAUUUUAAGUAAUUCGUUUAAUCAUAGUUAUAUCAAAAUAACAAAUGAUGUAACAGAUAUAGGUAUGGGCAAAACAGAGUUAAGUGACGGUGGUAAUAAUGUUGAACAUGGCCCUGUAGAGAAGUACUACCAUAACGACAAAAGUAAUAGUGAUCAUAGUAGGAGUGGUAGUCGUAGUAGGAGUGGUAGUCGUAGUAGUAGUGGAAGUCGUAGUAGUAGUGGUAGUCGUAGUAGUAGUGGUAGUAGUAGUCGCAAUAGUGGUAAUAGUAGUCGCAGUAGUGGUAGUAGAAACAUAAUGUUGAACAAGAAAAAUCAAUUUCGUAGAGAGAAUUCGAAUGAUGUGUAUCGUGACGACCCGAUUAGCAACACAGUCGGUUCUGGUAGUGGUACCAGUAGUGAUAGUACUAGUAAUGCCAGUAUAAGUGGCAGUGGAAGUGGUAGUAGAGAUUCUAAAAGUUCAAAAGGGAAUAAUAAAGGAAGCACAGAAAAUGGAAGUAAAAGUGGUCGUAGUAACAGCAACCGUAGUCGUAGUAGUAGUAGCACCAGUGGUAGUAGUACCAGUAGCGAUAAUAACAUAUUAAUAGAAAAUGACUCGCAUUUUAUUACAGAACCCAAAGGUUUAAAAAGAAUGUCUGACGUUUUACAUUUAAGAAAAAUGUUGAAUGAAAAAAAAAAUGUUAAUUUGGAAAAUAAUUAUUUCAUUAAUUAUUCAUUAUAUAUUCUUCAUAAAGAGCAUUACUCUAUAUAUGUAUUUUUUUCAACGUUUUUUAAAAAUGCAUUAAAGGAGUGCAACGACAUAAUUGAAAAGUCAAAAGGCAUAAAGGGAGGAUAGAGUUGUUUAUUACGUGUUUCCAUGCUACAUAAAAAAUAUGCAUAUAUUUACAUGCAUAUAUAUAGACAAAAUAUAACUUCUAGC